rnacentral:lncRNA from 1 species
AUCCAAUGGAAUAGCAAUAAGUUGUUUAGCUAGUUCACCUUAGUUUUUGCCAAUCUCUGGGUCAUCUUUUAUGUCAGAUACUUCAAUCGACAGGGCUUCCAUCGAUUUCUUCAUUUUGAUAGCUAUUAAGACACAUUGCCUAGCAAGUAUCUGAUCUCCACACAUUUCUCUGACUUCAUUUUUUGUUGGAAAUUGAACUAACAUAUGGUAGGUGGAGACUACAGCUCUGAGGGCAUUAAAUCCAGGUUGGCCAAGAAUAGCAUUAUAGGCAGAUGAUACUUUGACAACUAGAAAGGUAAGUUGCAUAGUUGACUGUUGGGGUUCUCAUUCUAUGGUGACAGGCUGGAUGAUUUCUCCUUCAAUAGUUAUAGGAUCUCUAGAGAAUCCGAUUAGUGGAGUGCUGACUCACUUUAACCAAUCUAACAUAUUUAUUUUUUGGAAUGCAUCAUAGGAC